CCUACGGGAGGCAGCAGUGAGGAAUAUUGGUCAAUGGUCGGGAGACUGAACCAGCCAAGUCGCGUGAGGGAUGAAGGUACAGAGUAUCGUAAACCUCUUUUGUCAGGGAACACAGGCGGGGACGUGUCCCCGGAUGCGUGUACCUGAAGAACAAGCAUCGGCUAACUCCGUGCCAGCAGCCGCGGUAAUACGGAGGAUGCGCGCGUUAUCCGGCUUUAUUGGGUUUAAAGGGUGCGCAGGCGGUCUGUUAAGUCAGCGGUCAAAGCCCGGGGCUCAACCCCGGCCCGCCGUUGAAACUGGCAGUCUCGAGUGGGAGAGAAGUAUGCGGAAUGCGCGGGGUAGCGGUGAAAUGCAUAGAUAUCGCGCAGAACUCCGAUUGCGAAGGCAGCAUGCCGGCUCCACACUGACGCUGAGGCACGAAAGCGUGGGUAUCGAACAGGAUUAGAUACCCGGGUAGUC
rnacentral:rRNA from 1 species